rnacentral:lncRNA from 1 species
AUAGUUGGGUGUCCGCUUUAGUGUGAUUUACGAAGGCUAGGCUAGGUUUGGUAAUAUCCAAAACAAAUGAAAAGAGGUCGGGGUCGAUAGGUGGCAGUUGGCAAGGAACUUGAUCCCCCCCAAAAAAAGGGGGAAGCCGCGGUCGAACUCUUAUUCUGGAAAUAAGUCGGGGCCCUUUUACCAAGUCUACCAGAUAGAAGAUGAUAGAGGGCCAACUAUCGUU